rnacentral:lncRNA from 1 species
UUACUGCUUUUCGUACAUUCUGUGAUCUCAUUUAAUACAUUUUACCUUUAACUUGUAAAUAUUUGAAGUUGGGCAGGGGGGUCAUCUGAACAUAUUACAAGGACAGUGGGUUCUUUCCAAAGACACAGUUUAUAUGAGUAUUACUCCCCCUUGGCUUUUCUCAUCCUAACUCUAGCCAUCACCUGAGUUCCAGAAUCAGGGAAGAGGUAGAAAGCCCCAUGGUGUAUGUCUCUGAGGGAGAGACAUUCCUGCUUCCCUUCACAUAAAUAUCAGCUAUGCCCGGGAAUGUUUACUCCUACCACCCAUUUCCCCACCAAUGGGAUUGGCCAUAUCAUAUCCAGGGGAAUCCUGGUUUUCCAAGUUAAGAUCGCAGUCAUGAUGAAGCCUGAUUUACUAGUAACCUACAAAAUGUAUUCACUAGAAGCUGUGGCAGUGGUUCAAAGUUAGAAAGAUGAUUAGUAUAUUCAUUUUUAUCAACCGUAGCACUUCAUGAUACUUAUGGAAAUAUUCUUGGUAAAUUAUUCAAUCAAAUAAAUUUUACAUGAGGGUUUUACUAACAAGUCUAAAAAAUUAUUUUCAACUAAAUUCAGUCAGACAGAUGGAUUUUGUUCUCCAGGUGGUUGCGUAUUUUUUGCUUGAUAACCUAUUUGGCAGCACUCUUUUGAACCUGUGAAUAUUUAUAUUUCAGGGCCCUCUCAAUAAUUAAGAAAUCCACAUUCAGUACCAGAUGUUUCCGAUGACUAAACAACUUUGUUUCAUUCUAGAACUGUAACUUUUUUUCACUCUCUUUUUUUUUUUUUUUGUCUUUAAUAACAUUUCCCCAAGAAUUGGGAACAAUGUAUUUACUGAAGUCUUAUGUUCACCAAGAAGCUAUGUUAAUAGACAUGUAGACACUCCAAGAGCAUUGUUUAUUUAUUAUAACAAUCAAGUAUUUUAGAACUUAUCAAAAUUAGCUGAUUUAUAAUGUUUAUAAUAUUUUCAGUUCUUAGGUUGUUACAGUACCCCAAAUGGAAACAAAUCUAACUUCAGAAACCAUGAAAAUAAACUUUCCUCCAAUGUAGCAUGUAACUUUUUGACAGAGAGCUUUCCAUUUUUCUGUUAAGAAUUGUGCUACAAGUAAACAAUGACUUAUUGUCAUUUUUAAUAAGCUAGAUCAAAAUCAAAAUGUAUCAAUGUCAUAAACUUAUUCCUGGAAUAAAAACUCUGACCUGAGAAGGGAUUCUCGAUUCCUAUAGCAGAUAAAUCUUGAGUGUCCUAUGGAGGUUGGUGGUCACAAACAAUCUUCUGAGUGUUUUGCCAGUCUCUGAUUUUGUUUUACCUUAAUUAGAUCCAUUCAAAGGCAUUUUUCUUCGUAUUAUUAAAGUCAAUUAUUGCUAUUAAUAUUAGUUUCAAGGCCAAAAAAAGUAAUAAUAUCUCACAUCAGUGCUUUCUCUACAAAGGUAGGCAAAUUGAAAGUGAAGUAUUUGGCAACUGUGUUUUGUAUAAAGCUCCACAAGAGUAAUUCAGGAUCACCCAAAUAAAGCUACUUAUUUGAAUGAUCACAUUUCAAAAUACUACUAAUGACUUUUCCUUAUGGUGAAUUUAGAAUGUGAAUUGGGCACAAAUUUUGUUACUUUUUUCUUUCUAAGAUUGGAACACGUACUGUUUUUGCUUUGCACUUUGUUUUCCUGUUAGACUGCAAUCUUAGGAUCCUGAAUGUUACAUGACACUAUAGAAAGUCUAUAGAAAGAGCACUUGCCUUGAAUUGUUUUCACAAAUAGGAGAGAAGAAUUUACACUGAUAAUUCUUUUCAUUCCUCGGGCCCAUUAAGUAAACUGUAAAAACUGAGUUCUGUGACAAGGACCAUCAGAGAGGUGCACAUCUGGCCAGGUCAUAUGUCUGCUUAAUAUCUGUUAGUGGCAUUCCAUCAUUCUUGGAAUAAAAUUUCAGACCUCCCUGGUCUCAGAUGACUGAGUGACUCUUACCUUCAGUCACUACAUUCCAACCACAAGAGUCUUCCACCCAGGGACUUCAGGCGGCUCCCUCUGCCUGAAGUGUAGUUCUCCCACUAAACCUGCCUCUCUGACUCUUUAAUUAUCUUUCUGGUCUCAAGUAUUAUUUUCUCAUUGAAGCAUUCCCAUAACUGCCUUGCCUCUAAAACUUAAAUCAGGUCCCCCGUUACACUUGAUAAUUGCAUCCUUUACUUUUCCUUCAUUGCGUUUACAAGUUAUAAUUACAUAUUUGUUGGAUUAUUUGUUUAAUGCCUGCCUCUCCCAAUAGAAUGUAAGCUCCAUGAUUAAAGAAAGAGCUGGAGUCAGAGGAAAGACUUUAUUAUAAUCAGUAUUUCAAACUUUUGACAGGUAAAUUAGACCAAAAUGAUUCCCAGGGAGCAGCAUGCAGCCUGAAAACCAUAAAGUCAAGGAGAGGAGUUCCCGUCGUGGUUCAGUGGUUAACAAAUCCGACUAGGAACCAUGAGGUUUCCAGUUCGAUCCCUGGCCUUACUCAGUGGGUUAAGGAUCCGGUGUUGCCGAGAGCUGUGGUGUAGGUCACAGACUCGGCUUGGAUCCCAUGUUGCCAUGGCUCUGGCGUAGGUAGGGAGGCUACUGCUCAGAUUAGACCCCUAGCCUGGGAACCUCCAUAUGCCAUGGGAGUGGCCCAAGAA